CGACUUUCGCAACGCUACUCUGUUUACCAGGUCAGGUCCGGAAGGAAGCAGCCAGAGCAGACGACGUGUGUGCCGGGAUGUAGCU
rnacentral:SRP_RNA from 1 species